AUUGAACGCUGGCGGCAGGCCUAACACAUGCAAGUCGAACGAGUGGCGGACGGGUGAGUAAUGUCUGGUAAACUGCCUGAUGGAGGGGGAUAACUACUGGAAACGGUAGCUAAUACCGCAUACCCUCGGAUGUGCCCAGAUGGGAUUAGCUAGUAGGUGGGGUAAAGGCCCACCUAGGCGACGAUCCCUAGCUGGUCUGAGAGGAGGACCAGCCACACUGGAACGGGGACACGGUCCAGACUCCAACGGGAGGCGGCAGGGGGGAAUAUUGCACAAGGGGGGCAAGCCUGAUGCAGCCAUGCGGGUGGUAUGAAGAAGGCCUUCGGGUGGUAAAGUACUUUCAGCGGGGAGGCGUUACCCGCAGAAGAAGCACCGGCUAACUCCGUGCCAGCCGCCGCGGUAAUUC
rnacentral:rRNA from 1 species